rnacentral:lncRNA from 1 species
UUGGAGUUCUAGCUCACCUUUCUGGUGUUGUUCUUGUACUCAUCUGUUUAAUCUAGUUCUUCCACUUCUUCUUGAACUUCUUGUUAGAUUUCAAGUCUGUAUUUUGUGUCCGUGACAAUAUAUCCGUGAUAUUAUCUCCUCUUUUAGAGACAUGUUCCACGAGGAGUGGUGAUUAUAUGUUGAUAAAGUCAAAGAUGCACUAAAUUGUAUUUACCAUGUAUUCUACUCUUUGUUUCCUUUGAAGGUAGUUGAUAGGUCCUUUCAACCAUCAAUAAUGUCUAAUACAAGGGCGAGAAGACC